rnacentral:rRNA from 1 species
UCGAGGAUCUUCGGCAAUGGGCGCAAGCCUGACCGAGCGACGCCGCGUGUGGGAUGAAGGCUUUCGGGUUGUAAACCACUGUCAGUGGGGAGGAAAUUUAUGAGGGUACUCCCUCAUAAUUGACCUAUCCGCAGAGGAAGCAAGGGCUAAGUUCGUGCCAGCAGCCGCGGUAAGACGAACCUUGCUAACGUUAUUCGGAAUUACUGGGCUUAAAGGGUGCGUAGGCGGUGCAGCAAGUCGGGUGUGAAAGCCCUCAGCUUAACUGAGGGAUUGCGUCCGAAACUGCUGUGCUUGAGGAAUACAGAGGUAUGCGGAACUUAGGGUGGAGCGGUGAAAUGCGUUGAUAUCCUAAGGAACACCGGUGGCGAAAGCGGCAUACUGGGUAUUUCUGACGCUCAUGCACGAAAGCUAGGGUAGCGAACGGGAUUAGAUACCCCGGUAGUCCUAGCCGUAAACUCUGAGCACUUGGUUGAAGGGUCCUCCAUAGCCUUUUAGCCGUAGCGAAAG